rnacentral:rRNA from 1 species
UAUCGGAACGUGCCCAGUCGUGGGGGAUAACGUAGAGAAAUUUACGCUAAUACCACAUACGAUCUAAGGAUGAAAGCGGGGGACUUCGCAAGAGGCCUCGCGCGAUUGGAGCGGCUGAUAUCAGAUUAGGUUGUUGGUGAGGUAAAAGCUCACCAAGCCGACGAUCUGUAGCUGGUUUGAGAGAACGACCAGCCACACUGGGACUGAGACACGGCCCAG